AUCUUCUUUGAAGGNAUGCUUAAGGAGGGGCUUGCGACACAUUAGUUAGUUGGCAGGGUAAAGGCCUACCAAGACUAUGAUGUGUAGCUGGACUGAGAGGUUGAACAGCCACAUUGGGACUGAGACACGGCCCAAACUCCUACGGGAGGCAGCAGUAGGGAAUUUUCGGCAAUGGAGGAAACUCUGACCGAGCAACGCCGCGUGAACGAUGAAGUACCUCGGUAUGUAAAGUUCUUUUAUUAAGGAAGAAAAAAGAGUGGAAAAACUCCCUUGACGGUACUUAAUGAAUAAGCCCCGGCUAAUUAUGUGCCAGCAGCCGCGGUAAUACAUAAGGGGCGAGCGUUAUCCGGAAUUAUUGGGCGUAAAGGGUGCGUAGGCGGUUUAAUAAGUCUAUAGUUUAAUUUCAGUGCUUAACGCUGUUGUGCUAUAGAAACUGUUUUACUAGAGUGAGAUAGAGGCAAGCGGAAUUCCAUGUGUAGCGGUAAAAUGCGUAAAUAUAUGGAGGAACACCAGAGGCGUAGGCGGCUUGCUGGGUCUUUACUGACGCUGNNGCACGAAAGCGUGGGGAGCAAACAGGAUUAGAUACCCUGGUAGUCCACGCCGUAAACGAUGAGUACUAAGUGUCGGGUAAAACUGGUACUGAAGUUAACACAUUAAGUACUCCGCCUGAGUAGUACGUACGCAAGUAUGAAACUUAAAGGAAUUGACGGGACUCCGCACAAGCGGUGGAUCAUGUUGUUUAAUUCGAA
rnacentral:rRNA from 1 species